rnacentral:rRNA from 1 species
UACGUAGGGUGCAAGCGUUGUCCGGAAUUAUUGGGCGUAAAGAGCUCGUAGGCGGUCUGUCGCGUCUGCUGUGAAAACCUGGGGCUUAACCCCGGGCCUGCAGUGGGUACGGGCAGACUAGAGUGCGGUAGGGGAGACUGGAAUUCCUGGUGUAGCGGUGAAAUGCGCAGAUAUCAGGAGGAACACCGGUGGCGAAGGCGGGUCUCUGGACAGUUCCUGACGCUGAGGCACGAAGGCCAGGGGAGCAAACGGG